AUGCCUUAAGAUUAUGACAUCAGCAAUCACGCCAUAGCUACCUAAGUCAUAUCCAUACUUGCCCCCGUGGGUCCUUUCCUGAAGGAAGCUGAAAAAUGUUCCAAAUCUCAGCAGACGUCCUACCGAACUGCUAGUCUACUUCGAGAAUAGUUCUUGGACUUCAGGCCUGAAGGCAGGCAUCACUGCCACCAGAGGAACAUUUCUGUUAGUGAGAUCAAGAGGACUGCUUAACAUUUGAGUGAAAUGUUUGAAUCUUAAUACUAAAUGCUGCCUAAGUCAGUGAAUGGGUCCUCUUGCCAAACAAAGCUGUUCUUCUGGACAUCAUGGAAAACUAAUGAAACUUCUCUUGCACAGAAGAUAACAAGACACAACAUGAAAGCUAUAUUUUUUUAUAUCUUGGCAUUGAAGUCAAGAGGAGCUAAGGAUAAAGUUAAAAUAGUGAGUUUUUCAGAACAAGAAAAGUCUGCGGUAGCCAACUUAUAUCCUCAGUGGUUGCCCUACUGGCGAAGAAUAUCUUCUAUAUCAUCUGAAUUUGUAUUAACAUUUUCUAAAAUGCCAAUAUCAGAGAUAUUGUACUCAGCAUUAAAGUAUGUGAAUGAGUGAAUGAAUUUUCCUAAAAAUCAUAAAGUUGGUGCAUGAUGGUGCAAA